AGCUCUCGCUAUUAGAUGAGCCUAAGUCGGAUUAGCUGGUUGGUGGGGUAAAGGCCUACCAAGGCGACGAUCUGUAGCUGGUCUGAGAGGAUGAUCAGCCACACUGGGACUGAGACACGGCCCAGACUCCUACGGGAGGCAGCAGUGGGGAAUAUUGGACAAUGGGCGAAAGCCUGAUCCAGCCAUGCCGCGUGUGUGAAGAAGGCCUUUUGGUUGUAAAGCACUUUAAGUGGGGAGGAAAAGCUUAUGGUUAAUACCCAUAAGCCCUGACGUUACCCACAGAAUAAGCACCGGCUAACUCUGUGCCAGCAGCCGCGGUAAUACAGAGGGUGCAAGCGUUAAUCGGAAUUACUGGGCGUAAAGCGCGCGUAGGCGGUUAUUUAAGUCAGAUGUGAAAGCCCCGGGCUUAACCUGGGAACUGCAUCUGAUACUGGAUAACUAGAGUAGGUGAGAGGGGAGUAGAAUUCCAGGUGUAGCGGUGAAAUGCGUAGAGAUCUGGAGGAAUACCGAUGGCGAAGGCAGCUCCCUGGCAUCAUACUGACACUGAGGUGCGAAAGCGUGGGUAGCAAACAGGAUUAGAUACCCUGGUAGUCCACGCCGUAAACGAUGUCUACCAGUCGUUGGGUCUUUUAAAGACUUAGUGACGCAGUUAACGCAAUAAGUAGACCGCCUGGGGAGUACG
rnacentral:rRNA from 1 species